GACGAACGCUGGCGGCGUGCUUAACACAUGCAAGUCGAACGGAAAGGCCCUGCUUUUGUGGGGUGCUCGAGUGGCGAACGGGUGAGUAACACGUGAGUAACCUGCCCUUGACUUUGGGAUAACUUCAGGAACUUGGGGUAAUAACCGGUAGGAGCUUCUGGUGCCUGGUGGGGGUUGGGAAAUUUCGGCGGUUGGGGAUGGACUCGCGGCUUAUCAGCUUGUUGGUGGGGGAGUGGCUUACCAAGGCUUUGACGGGUAGCCGGCCUGAGAGGGUGACCGGCCACAUUGGGACUGAGAUACGGCCCAGACUCCUACGGGAGGCAGCAGUGGGGAAUAUUGCACAAUGGGCGGAAGCCUGAUGCAGCAACGCCGCGUGCGGGAUGACGGCCUUCGGGUUGUAAACCGCUUUCGCCUGUGACGAAGCGUGAGUGACGGUAAUGGGUAAAGAAGCACCGGCUAACUACGUG
rnacentral:rRNA from 1 species